rnacentral:ncRNA from 1 species
GUCGUAUAAAGAUGUAUAGAUGCGAGACAAUCUAGCAUUUCCCUUUACGGCAUUGUAGUAAUGUUAGAAAUUCAAACAAAAGUAAUUGUUGUAUGGUUAAAAAUUGAAACAAUUUGAGUUUGAAUGGAAGAGGUUAACCGUAUGACCUUGUGUUGAAAAACACUAAAAAUAAUCUUGAAAUAGUAAUGCUAAAUUUUAUUUUAAGUUACGGUUCG